CUUCUUGACGAACCGUGAUGUCAUUAAUUUGGUGUUGCGGGAAAUCAGGACUGUUACUUUGAAAAAAUUAAAGUGUUUAAAGCAGGCUAACGCUUGAAUACAUUACCAUGGAAUAAUGAAAUAGGACGUUAAUCCUAUUUUGUUGGUUUCUAGGAUCGACGUAAUGAUUAAUAGGGAUAGUUGGGGGCAUUAGUAUUCAAUUGUCAGAGGUGAAAUUCUUGGAUUUAUUGAAGACUAACUACUGCGAAAGCAUUUGCCAAGGAUGUUUUCAUUAAUCAAGAACGAAAGUUAGGGGAUCGAAGACGAUCAGAUACCGUCGUAGUCUUAACCAUAAACUAUGCCGACUAGGGAUCGGAUGAUGUUAUUUUUUAAUGACUCAUUCGGCGCCUUACG
rnacentral:rRNA from 1 species